rnacentral:rRNA from 1 species
GACGAACGCUGGCGGCGUGCUUAACACAUGCAAGUCGAACGGAAAGGCCCUGCUUUUGUGGGGUGCUCGAGUGGCGAACGGGUGAGUAACACGUGAGUAACCUGCCCCUGACUGUGGGAUAACUUCAUGAAACUGGGGCUAAUACCGGAUAGGAGCUCCUGCUGCAUGGUGGUGUUCGGAAAGUUUCGGCGGUUGGGGAUGGACUCGCGGCUUAUCAGCUUGUUGGUGGGGUAGUGGCUUACCAAGGCUUUGACGGGUAGCCGGCCUGAGAGGGUGAACGGCCACAUUGGGACUGAGAUACGGCCCAGACUCCUACGGGAGGCAGCAGUGGGGAAUAUUGCACAAUGGGCGGAAGCCUGAUGCAGCAACGCCGCGUGCGGGAUGACGGCCUUCGGGUUGUAAACCGCUUUCGCCUGUGACGAAGCGUGAGUGACGGUAAUGGGUAAAGAAGCACCGGCUAACUACGUG